rnacentral:lncRNA from 1 species
AAGAUUGGUCGCGGUAGUAGUGGCAGUGAUGGGGGUGGUGGAAACGGUGGUAGCGGUCAUCGUCAAAGAGGUACAGGAGGUCAUGAUGGAAUCAACACAAAAAGAAGGAGUGGUGGUGGAAUUCGCGCAAAUGGAUAAUUUUGAAAUCACUUGCAUGGCCAAUGGAGCCUGGUUGAUGUCGAAGGUAAGUAAAACCAUAUGAAAUAACAGCAGUAAAAUGCUAUGUUGUCUUCCUGGGUGUUAGAAGGUAGAUAUUUGGUUUUGUGGGUUUGGUUUGGAGAGUGGUGUUGUGCUCGUGAUUUCACAUAUUAUAUAGUCGUGGCUUCAAAUUUCCAAUGGAUUGGCUACGAAGAUUGUAGCUGGAAAAGGCAAUUGUCUUUCUGCCAAUUAAUUGUAGCUGGAAAAUUUAUAAUAAAAGUGAUUUUCAAAGAAGGAUCUGGUAAUGAAAAGAAUUACUCGUUGCACUUCAUUAAUUAACCAUUUAUUGUUAAUAAGGAUAACCCAUCAAGCAAUUAGAUGGGACCGAUACCCUAGACUGCUAAUUAAGAUCGAGCUCCCGGAUCUCCCAAGUU